UACGUAGGGCGCAAGCGUUGUCCGGAAUUAUUGGGCGUAAAGAGCUCGUAGGCGGCCUGUUGCGUCCGCUGUGAAAUCCCGGGGCUCAACCCCGGGCGUGCAGUGGAUACGGGCUGGCUGGAGGCAGGCAGGGGGAGAACGGAAUUCCUGGUGUAGCGGUGAAAUGCGUAGAGAUUGGAAAGAACACCGAUGGCGAAGGCACUUUACUGGGCUAUUACUAACACUCAGAGACGAAAGCUAGGGUAGCAAAUGGG
rnacentral:rRNA from 1 species